AUGAACGCUAGCUACAGGCUUAACACAUGCAAGUCGAGGGGCAGCAUGGUCUUAGCUUGCUAAGGCCGAUGGCGACCGGCGCACGGGUGAGUAACGCGUAUCCAACCUGCCUUACACUCUUGGACAGCCUUCUGAAAGGGAGAUUAAUACAAGAUGUUAUCAUGAGUAAGCAUUUUCGCAUGAUUAAAGGUUUACCGGUGUAAGAUGGGGAUGCGUUCCAUUAGAUAGUAGGCGGGGUAACGGCCCACCUAGUCUUCGAUGGAUAGGGGUUCUGAGAGGAAGGUCCCCCACAUUGGAACUGAGACACGGUCCAAACUCCUACGGGAGGCAGCAGUGAGGAAUAUUGGUCAAUGGACGAGAGUCUGAACCAGCCAAGUAGCGUGAAGGAUGAAGGUUCUAUGGAUUGUAAACUUCUUUUAUACGGGAAUAAACGAAUCCACGUGUGGAUUUUUGCAUGUACCGUAUGAAUAAGGAUCGGCUAACUCCGUGCCAGCAGCCGCGGUAAUACGGAGGAUCCGAGCGUUAUCCGGAUUUAUUGGGUUUAAAGGGAGCGUAGAUGGGUUGUUAAGUCAGUUGUGAAAGUUUGCGGCUCAACCGUAAAAUUGCAAUUGAUACUGGCAGUCUUGAGUACAGUUGAGGUAGGCGGAAUUCGUGGUGUAGCGGUGAAAUGCUUAGAUAUCACGAAGAACUCCGAUUGCGAAGGCAGCUUACUAACCUGUAACUGACAUUGAUGCUCGAAAGUGUGGGUAUCAAACAGGAUUAGAUACCCUGGUAGUCCACACGGUAAACGAUGAAUACUCGCUGUAGGCGAUAUACAGUCUGCGGCCAAGCGAAAGCAUUAAGUAUUCCACCUGGGGAGUACGCCGGCAACGGUGAAACUCAAAGGAAUUGACGGGGGCCCGCACAAGCGGAGGAACAUGUGGUUUAAUUCGAUGAUACGCGAGGAACCUUACCCGGGCUUAAAUUGCAACCGAAUAUGGCGGAAACGCUAUAGCUAGCAAUAGCGGUUGUGAAGGUGCUGCAUGGUUGUCGUCAGCUCGUGCCGUGAGGUGUCGGCUUAAGUGCCAUAACGAGCGCAACCCUUGCCGAUAGUAACUAACAGGUUAUGCUGAGGACUCUGUCGGGACUGCCAUCGUAAGAUGUGAGGAAGGUGGGGAUGACGUCAAAUCAGCACGGCCCUUACGUCCGGGGCUACACACGUGUUACAAUGGGGGGUACAGAGGGCUGCUACCACGCAAGUGGAUGCCAAUCCCAAAAACCUCUCUCAGUUCGGAUUGAAGUCUGCAACCCGACUUCAUGAAGCUGGAUUCGCUAGUAAUCGCGCAUCAGCCACGGCGCGGUGAAUACGUUCCCGGGCCUUGUACACACCGCCCGUCAAGCCAUGGGAGCCGGGGGUACCUGAAGUGCGUAACCGCAAGGAGCGCCCUAGGGUAAAACUGGUGACUGGGGCU
rnacentral:rRNA from 1 species